rnacentral:rRNA from 1 species
AGCGGCGAACGGGUGAGUAAUGCAUAGGAACGUACCCAGUCGUGGGGGAUAACGUAGCGAAAGUUACGCUAAUACCGCAUACGUCCUACGGGAGAAAGCAGGGGAUCGCAAGACCUUGCGCGAUUGGAGCGGCCGAUGUCUGAUUAGCUAGUUGGUGGGGUAAAGGCCCACCAAGGCGACGAUCAGUAGCGGGUCUGAGAGGAUGAUCCGCCACACUGGGACUGAGACACGGCCCAGACUCCUACGGGAGGCAGCAGUGGGGAAUUUUGGACAAUGGGCGCAAGCCUGAUCCAGCCAUUCCGCGUGAGUGAAGAAGGCCUUCGGGUUGUAAAGCUCUUUCGGCAGGAACGAAACGGCGGGCUCUAACAUAGCCUGUUAAUGACGGUACCUGAAGAAGAAGCACCGGCUAACUACGUGCCAGCAGCCGCGGUAAUACGUAGGGUGCGAGCGUUAAUCGGAAUUACUGGGCGUAAAGCGUGCGCAGGCGG